UGGGUGGCGAGUGGCGGACGGGUGAGGAAUACAUCGGAAUCUACUCUGUCGUGGGGGAUAACGUAGGGAAACUUACGCUAAUACCGCAUACGACCUACGGGUGAAAGCAGGGGAUCUUCGGACCUUGCGCGAUUGAAUGAGCCGAUGUCGGAUUAGCUAGUUGGCGGGGUAAAGGCCCACCAAGGCGACGAUCCGUAGCUGGUCUGAGAGGAUGAUCAGCCACACUGGAACUGAGACACGGUCCAGACUCCUACGGGAGGCAGCAGUGGGGAAUAUUGGACAAUGGGCGCAAGCCUGAUCCAGCCAUACCGCGUGGGUGAAGAAGGCCUUCGGGUUGUAAAGCCCUUUUGUUGGGAAAGAAAUCCAGCUGGCUAAUACCCGGUUGGGAUGACGGUACCCAAAGAAUAAGCACCGGCUAACUUCGUGCCAGCAGCCGCGGUAAUACGAAGGGUGCAAGCGUUACUCGGAAUUACUGGGCGUAAAGCGUGCGUAGGUGGUCGUUUAAGUCCGUUGUGAAAGCCCUGGGCUCAACCUGGGAACUGCAGUGGAUACUGGGCGACUAGAGUGUGGUAGAGGGUAGCGGAAUUCCUGGUGUAGCAGUGAAAUGCGUAGAGAU
rnacentral:rRNA from 1 species